AGAUUGAACGCUGGCGGCAGGCCUAACACAUGCAAGUCGAGCGGUAGAGAGGUGCUUGCAUCUCUUGAGAGCGGCGGACGGGUGAGUAAUGCCUAGGAAUCUGCCUAGUGGUGGGGGAUAACGUUCGGAAACGGACGCUAAUACCGCAUACGUCCUACGGGAGAAAGCGGGGGACCUUCGGGCCUCGCGCCAUUAGAUGAGCCUAGGUCGGAUUAGCUAGUUGGUGAGGUAAUGGCUCACCAAGGCGACGAUCCGUAACUGGUCUGAGAGGAUGAUCAGUCACACUGGAACUGAGACACGGUCCAGACUCCUACGGGAGCAGCAGUGGGGAAUAUUGGACAAGUGGGACGAAAGCC
rnacentral:rRNA from 1 species